GACGAACGCUGGCGGCGUGCCUAAUACAUGCAAGAUGAGCGCUGAAGGUUGGUACUUGUACCAACUGGAUGAGCAGCGAACGGGUGAGUAACGCGUGGGGAAUCUGCCUUUGAGCGGGGGACAACAUUUGGAAACGAAUGCUAAUACCGCAUAAAAACUUUAAACACAAGUUUUAAGUUUGAAAGAUGCAAUUGCAUCGCUCAAAGAUGAUCCCGCGUUGUAUUAGCUAGUUGGUGAGGUAAAGGCUCACCAAGGCGAUGAUACAUAGCCGACCUGAGAGGGUGAUCGGCCACAUUGGGACUGAGACACGGCCCAAACUCCUACGGGAGGCAGCAGUAGGGAAUCUUCGGCAAUGGACGAAAGUCUGACCGAGCAACGCCGCGCGAGUGAAGAAGGGUUUCGGAUCGUAAAACUCGGUUGGUAGAGAAGAACGUUGGUGAGAGUGGAAAGCUCAUCAAGUGACGGUAACUACCCAGAAAGGGACGGCUAACUACGUG
rnacentral:rRNA from 1 species